rnacentral:tRNA from 3 species
GCAUCCGUAGCUCAGCUGGAUAGAGUACUCGGCUACGAACAGAGCGGUCGGAGGUUCGAAUCCUCCCGGAUGCACCA